rnacentral:rRNA from 14 species
GCGCAACCCUCGCCGUUAGUUGCCAGCACGUUUGGGUGGGCACUCUAACGGGACUGCCGGUGUCAAACCGGAGGAAGGUGGGGAUGACGUCAAGUCAUCAUGGCCCUUACGGCCUGGGCUACACACGUGCUACAAUGGUCGGUACAGAGGGUUGCCAAGCCGCGAGGUGGAGCUAAUCCCAGAAAACCGAUCGUAGUCCGGAUCGCAGUCUGCAACUCGACUGCGUGAAGUCGGAAUCGCUAGUAAUCGCGAAUCAGAAUGUCGCGGUGAAUACGUUCCCGGGUCUUGUACACACCGCCCGUCACACCAUGGGAGCGGGUUCUGCCAGAAGUAGUUAGCUUAACCGCAAGGAGGGCGAUUACCACGGCAGGGUUCGUGACUGGGGUGAAGUCGUAACAAGGUAACCGUACUGAAGGUGCGGUUGGAUCACCUCCUU